GUUUGAUCAUGGCUCAGAUUGAACGCGUUUGAUCCUGGCUCAGAUUGAACGCUGGCGGCAGGCCUGACACAUGCAAGUCGAACGGUAGCACAGAGGAGCUUGCUCCUUGGGUGACGAGUGUCGGACGGGUGAGUAAUGUCUGGGAAACUGCCCGAUGGAGGCGGAUAACUACUGGAAACGGUAGCUAAUACCGCAUAACGUCGCAAGACCCAAAGAGCGGGGACCUUCGGCCCUCUUGCCAUCGGAUGUGCCCAGAUGGGAUUAGCUAGUAGGUGGGGUAACGGCUCACCUACGCGACGAUCCCUACUGGUCUGAGAGGAUGACCAGCCACACUGGAACUGAGACACGGUCCAGACUCCUACGGGAGGCAGCAGUGGGGAAUAUUGCACAAUGGCGCGCAAGCCUGAUGCGCCAUGCCGCGUGUAU
rnacentral:rRNA from 1 species